AUUGAACGCUGGCGGCGUGCUUAACACAUGCAAGUCGAACGAAGUGGCGAACGGGUGAGUAACGCGUUAUCAACCUGCCCUUCAGAGGGGGACAACAGUCGGAAACGAUUGCUAAUACCGAAUACUGAAGGAGGGGAUUGCGUCUGAUUAGCUAGUUGGCGGGGUAACGGCCCACCAAGGCGAUGAUCAGUAGCCUGUCUGAGAGGAUGAGCGGCCACAUUGGGACGGAGACACGGCCCAGACUCCUACGGGAGGCAGCAGUGGGUAAUCUUCCGCAAUGGACGAAAGUCUGACGGAGCAACGCCACGUGAGUGAUGACGGCCUUCGGGUUGUAAAGCUCUGUUAAUCGGGACGCGGUACCGGAAUAGAAAGCCACGGCAAACUACGUGCCAGCAGCCGCGGUAAUU
rnacentral:rRNA from 1 species